rnacentral:pre_miRNA from 1 species
GGGUGUCUGUUCACAUCUUACCGGGCAGCAUUAGAUAUUUUUGAAAUACUUCUAAUACUGUCAGGUAAAGAUGUCGUCCGAACCC